GACGAACGCUGGCGGCGUGCUUAACACAUGCAAGUCGAACGGUGAAGGGAUCAGCUUGCUGGUUCUGGAUGAGUGGCGAACGGGUGAGUAACACGUGAGUAACCUGCUCCCUUCUUCUGGAUAACCGCAUGAAAGUGUGGCUAAUACGGGAUAUUCUGCGCCUGCUGCAUGGUGGGUGUGGGAAAGAUAUUGUUUCGGUGGGGGAUGGGCUCGCGGCCUAUCAGCUUGUUGGUGGGGUGAUGGCCUACCAAGGCGGUGACGGGUAGCCGGCCUGAGAGGGUGGACGGUCACACUGGGACUGAGACACGGCCCAGACUCCUACGGGAGGCAGCAGUGGGGAAUAUUGCACAAUGGGCGCAAGCCUGAUGCAGCGACGCCGCGUGAGGGAUGGAGGCCUUCGGGGUGUGAACCUCUUUCGCCAGUGAAGCAGGCCUGUCCCUUGUGGGUGGGUUGACGGUAGCUGGAUAAGAAGCGCCGGCUAACUACGUG
rnacentral:rRNA from 1 species